CGAGGGGCAGCGCGGGGUAGCAAUACUCUGGCGGCGACCGGCGGAAGGGUGCGUAACACGUGAGCGACUUGCCCGUCACAGGGAGAUAACCGGCGGAAACGGCGACUAAUAUCCCAUAUGAUCCGAAGCUACAUGGCGUCGGGUUGAAAGAUUCAUCGGUGACGGAUAGGCUCGCGGGACAUUAGCUGGACGGCGGGGCAACGGCCCACCGUGGCGACGAUGUCUAGGGGUUCUGAGAGGAAGAUCCCCCACACUGGAACUGAGACACGGUCCAGACUCCUACGGGAGGCAGCAGGGAGGAAUAUUGGUCAAUGGGCGGAAGCCUGAACCAGCCAUGCCGCGUGAAGGAAUAAGGCCCUAUGGGUCGUAAACUUCUUUAGACGCAGAGCAAUAAGGGUCUCGUGAGGCCCGAUGAGAGUAUGCGUAGAAUAAGCAUCGGCUAACUCCGUGCCAGCAGCCGCGGUAAUACGGGGGAUGCGAGCGUUAUCCGGAUUUAUUGGGUUUAAAGGGUGCGUAGGCGGCAAGGUAAGUCAGCGGUGAAAGACCAGGGCUCAACUCUGGAAGUGCCGUUGAUACUGUCUGGCUAGAAUGAUUCCGCCGUGGGAGGAAUGAGUAGUGUAGCGGUGAAAUGCAUAGAUAUUACUCAGAACACCGAUUGCGAAGGCAUCUCACGAGGGGUUCAUUGACGCUGAGGCACGAAAGCGUGGGGAUCGAACAGGAUUAGAUACCCUGGUAGUCCACGCAGUAAACGAUGAUGGCUAACUGUCGGGCCUUCGGGUUCGGCGGCCAAGCGAAAGCGAUAAGCCAUCCACCUGGGGAGUACGACCGCAAGGUUGAAACUCAAAGGAAUUGACGGGGGCCCGCACAAGCGGAGGAACAUGUGGUUUAAUUCGAUGAUACGCGAGGAACCUUACCCAGGCUCGAACGGCAUCUGAAUCGUCCAGAGAUGGGCGAGUCUUCGGACAGAUGUCGAGGUGCUGCAUGGUU
rnacentral:rRNA from 1 species